rnacentral:rRNA from 1 species
UACGGGGGGGGCAAGCGUUGUUGGGAAUUACUGGGCGUAAAGGGCUCGUAGGCGGCCAACUAAGUCGGACGUGAAAUCCCUCAGCUUAACUGGGGAACUGCGUCCGAUACUGGAUGGCUUGGAUUUGGGAGAGGGAUGCGGAAUUCCAGGUGUAGCGGUGAAAUGCGUAGAUAUCUGGAGGAACACCGGUGGCGAAGGCGGCAUCCUGGACCAAUAUUGACGCUGAGGAGCGAAAGCUAGGGGAGCAAACGGG